rnacentral:rRNA from 1 species
UACAGAGGGUGCAAGCGUUGUUCGGAAUUAUUGGGCGUAAGGGCGCGUAGGCGGUGCGGGAAGUCCGCAGUGAAAUCUCUGGGCUCAACUCAGAGUCUGCUGUGGAAACUGCCGUGCUAGAGUGUGGGAGAGGUGAGUGGAAUUCCCGGUGUAGCGGUGAAAUGCGUAGAUAUCAGGAGGAACACCGGUGGCGAAGGCGGGUCUCUGGGCCGAUAUUGACGCUGAGGAGCGAAAGCGUGGGGAGCGAACAGG